UACGUAGGGUGCAAGCGUUAUCCGGAUUUACUGGGUUUAAAGGGUGCGUAGGUGGGCAGGUAAGUCAGUGGUGAAAUCUUCAAGCUUAACUUGGAAACUGCCAUUGAUACUAUUUGUCUUGAAUUAUCUGGAGGUAAGCGGAAUAUGUCAUGUAGCGGUGAAAUGCUUAGAUAUGACAUAGAACACCCAUUGCGAAGGCAGCUUACUACGGAUAUAUUGACACUGAGGCACGAAAGCGUGGGGAUCAAACAGG
rnacentral:rRNA from 1 species